AACGAACGCUGGCGGCAUGCCUAAUACAUGCAAGUCGAACGAGAUCUUCGGAUCUAGUGGCGCACGGGUGCGUAACGCGUGGGAAUCUGCCCUUGGGUUCGGAAUAACUUCUGGAAACGGAAGCUAAUACCGGAUGAUGACGUAAGUCCAAAGAUUUAUCGCCCAAGGAUGAGCCCGCGUAGGAUUAGGUAGUUGGUGAGGUAAAGGCUCACCAAGCCGACGAUCCUUAGCUGGUCUGAGAGGAUGAUCAGCCACACUGGGACUGAGACACGGCCCAGACUCCCACGGGAGGCAGCAGUAGGGAAUAUUGGACAAUGGGCGAAAGCCUGAUCCAGCAAUGCCGCGUGAGUGAUGAAGGCCUUAGGGUUGUAAAGCUCUUUUACCCGGGAUGAUAAUGACAGUACCGGGAGAAUAAGCUCCGGCUAACUCCGUG
rnacentral:rRNA from 1 species